rnacentral:lncRNA from 1 species
UUCAGUCUGUUCUUAGCAUCUGUGGGCUUGGAGUUGUGGGUUUUUGCAUAACAUCAAGUUUUAACAUAAGGAAACAUAGUCCAAUAGCCUCUGACUUAGAUAGGAGUAUAAAACCUCUUAGUAACACUUUCAGAAAUGAGUUCUAAACAGCUCUCUAAAUGAUGAGAAAUAUCCUAGUCUGACACUCCAAAAGCAUGGACUGUUGAACAUUUAGGACUUCGCUUUCACAAUUUUAUCCGUUGACUUCCAGGAAAGUCAUUUCUGUCAAAGUACUGGUGUGGACAACAGUCACAGGCGGGAAGGGCAAUGGGACAAGAAGGAGGAGGAAGGAAACGGUCCCAUAAUUUUAGAAAGAGUAUGAAAAAGAGAAGUUGGACUUGAGGUUCUGUUUCUGGCUCUGCCUCUGUUUUGUAGCCAACCAGCCAUCCCUCUCCGUUUCUCUCCAUUAGUUACAAAGAGAGGAGAAAACUAUAGAGUGGGUAUACAGCAUCUUGUCAUGCUUGGGUGAAAGAUCCUGCAUUGUGGCCAGCGCAAACCUAGAAUUAAUCAUGUUGAGAAAUCUGCGUUGCGUUGCAGUGUACUGGUUUCAAGUUUCACAGGAAUACAUUUACUCUGAAUAUACAAGGAGAGAAAUGGCAAAAUUGCAUUUUUAGGUGGGAACACCAAAGAUGGGGGUAACACACUAAAAACAGAGGAUGAUUUUGAGCAAAGCUUGUCCUACACCAACACAUAAUGUCAACCAAACUUGUGAUCUAUCUUUUCUCUUCCUGCAUUCUUUCUUCCUCAUCAGUUGCCCCAUUCCCUAAAUUCAUUUUUUAUAUCAUCCUAUGUCCUCAUAUCAAUGAUUAAAUAGUUUACCCUGGAGUUCCCUUCAUGGCUCAGCCAUUAAUGAACCUGACCAGGAUCCAUGAGGAUGUGGGUUCGAUCCCUAGCCUUGCUCAGUGGUUUAAGGAUCUGGCUUGCCAUGAGCUGCGGUGUAGGUCAUAGACACAUCUCGGAUCCCGAGUUGCUGUGGCUGUGGCAUAGGCCAGCAGCUGUAGCUCUGAAUUGACCGCUAGCCUGGGAAACUCCAUAUGCCGCAGUGUGGCCCUAAAAGAGCAAACAAGACAAAACAAAACAAAACAGUUUACCCCUCUCAGAAGUAUUGCACAUUGGAAGAAAAGAAUCCCAAGGAAGAAAGAAAUUGUGUGUCCAACACCAUGGCCACUAAAAAUCCCUCCACUUUAAUACUCACAUCAACAUCCUCCCGUUUGGAGAGGAUGGUGAAGGAGGAACAGGAUUGAAGAGAGCUGAGGUCUUGAUAUUGUGAUGUGCUCUUAACCUGUGUAGGACACUUGAACUUAGGUGACUAAUGUUUUCCCUUCGGUGUCCCCAGCAAUGGCCAUCUUCAAUUGUAUUGAUUGGGAGGUUUUCAACCUGAGAGCACUGGAGUGUUCUGAGACACACUAAGAGUUUCCAUGAAGGAAAGUGUGAGUUCAUGCUGACUAUGGACCCUGGUCCAUAGAGUCUUGUUCAAGUGAUGGAGUUUCCACUGUAGGGCAUUCAUUCGUCACAGUGUUCCAAGAAUAUCAGGUCUCCACGGCGUUCCUUCUUUCUCUAACAUACAUAAGUGGUCUGGGGGCAUGUCCACACUGAUGUCCACACCAAGCAUUAACUCCUUGUGAUCCAUAAGCAUUCUCUAUAGUGCCAAAGCAGUGUCCUUAAGAAGUGGGGAGCUAUCUCUUUUCCACAGUCUCUAUCACAUCAUUAACCCAUAUUCCCCCCAAACAGGACUACUUCCUUCUCAAGUCUUACUGGCAGAAAUGGGUCCUCUAACUUGUGGCAGAGCAGCCUUUCUACACCCCACCUCCGGGCACCAAUAUGAAUCUAUGGGUCUGGUUCAGACACUGACAUUCUUUUCAUUUCCCCCAAUCCAUUUCCUUUCCAUGGAGGGAGGCAUCAAUCUCUUUUUCAAUGAAACCGUCUCAAUCUCACAUAAAUCACCUUGGAUAAAAAGAGGGCUGAAGGCUAUUGUCGCCACCACUGCAUAGAGAGGCCCAGCUAGCCUUGAUUUCUUUUAGGCUCACCAGAGAUCUCUGUCCCUCACCCUACACCCAGAAGUACGGAUAUCUGGCUCAUAGAACUCAGUGUCCUUGUGACUUCCCAAUCCUUCUGAAAAUAUCUAAUAUCUAAUAAAUAAAAUUAUAAAGUAUCAAAUAUCUUUUUAAAAUCUAAAAUUUAAACAAUUUUUCCAAAAAAUUCCUGAGAACUCCCUCUUUGAGCACCUUAAUAUGCUUUUUUUCUCUCCUCGCUCUCCAUGAAAAAAUUCUCCAUUUUCCAAACACAUAGAUGUGACUCUCAUAACAACUAAGCUUCCCCUAUGAAGAAUCUUUAUUACUACAGUGUUUGGUCUCAAAUCUCUUAAUAGCCUUCUGGUGGCUUUAAGAAGUAUUAUGCAGACAACAUCUGCGUUUUCAUCCCGGUUUUGACACUAUUUGGUCAUAUCUUGGGGACCGACACAUUUCACUGAUCCUUCAGUAAAGAGAAAAAAAAAAGCAUAGUUCAAGUUUAAACAUGAGCAGUUGUGCCAUGCAUCCUUGUGUUUAUGGAAAUCCAUUAGAGAGAGAGAGCGAGCAAAAGAGAAUGAGAGAGCGAGAGCGCCUAAGCCCCUUGUCUUGUUAUGUAGCAUAGCAAUUCUUGGACUAAAUGAGCUGUGUGGCAUCAAGUUCAUGCUGGUUCUAUGAUCUCAUCAUUUCUAGGUCCUCAUUAAAAGCAGGGUACUAGUUAUUCUAAUUUCCAAGUGUCUCCCCCCCCCCACACACACACAUAAUUUGGGUUAAAAAAUAAAAAGAAUAAUGUCAUUCAGACACACAGGAUGAGGUGAGUCACUUUGGUUCAUUAUUUGUAAAUAAAACAAUCCCCAGCAUUUUUUUUUUUUUUCUGUAAACUUAGAAUGGUCCUACAAACCUAUGGGGACUCUACAUAUCUAGAAUCAUGCCUUCCUACAGUCUCUCCCUGGAUUAUUUAGGGAGAAAAAAGUAUGAAGAUACAUUUUCAUGAAUUAACUGGAGAAGUACAGAACUGCUAUGAUCAUUGACUAACUUUCAUGAUCCACAACAAUAUGGGAGCUACCCAAGUACCGGAAAAGACAGGGAGUCUCCUAAAGGCUGAAAUAUCAUGAAAAGUAUCUCAUCAUCUUUAGAUACUGUCCACUUUUUCUUUCAUGUGCAUAUUUGUUUCACCAACAUUAUUGGGUUAAAAAUAUGCUCCCAAAUCUACCCAGACCCAGAAGUUACAAAAGUGAAAAUGUGUGGUCUUUCCUCCAAAAUUCUCAAAGACUAUUGGGAGAUAUUGACACAUAAAGAGAUAAUAACUGUCUAAUAAUAUAAGGGAUAUAAAUAAUGUAGAUACAAGGUACAAUGGCAAAUUACCACAUUCAUUCAUGGUUCAAAGGAGGAUCUUCUUAGGAUCCUAUCCACAGGGGCAAACAAGGCGUGUGAUAAUGUGUGUCAACCUUCUGGCCUCAAGGGGAAAAACCUUAUUUCUACUCCUCCCUAGAAGAAGAGCAUCUGUUUUCUUCCUAUAAGGUGGGUAUAUGUGAACAAGCACUUAGCCCCUUUAUUUCACCAACUACUACUUCACUCUCUUCGCCCAAAAGAGGGAGUAGCCAGGCUAGUUAGUUGCCAUUCAUUAAGCUCCUCAAAGUGCCUCUUGCUCCCUUGGACAUUUGGGCUCUCAGGCGAAAGAGUCUUUCUUCUCUGCUUCUUGUCUCAGUGUGGGAAGGACCUCCCCACCAUAUAGGGUCUCUCUCUCCCUCUCUCCUUCUCUCCUUCUCUCCUCCCCUCUCCUUCUCCAUCUCCACCUCCAUCUUGGAACAGUUGCCGUGUGUGUGAAUCAGGCCCAAGACUCUAGGUAGGUAAGCUUCUCUAACAAGGUUACCAGGAGCCCUGAAUUGCAGGAGAUGACUGACUGCUGCUUAGCUUCAGUAAGAAGACACUCUGCUCCUGUUUGUCUGGUCACCCUCGCAUCUCUUCUCUACAGUUUAGUACACAGAAUAGAGGAAGGAAGGCUUUCAGCCUCUCCAUCUCUAACCUCUCACAUUGGCUCACCAAGCCAGUCCUCCUUCCUGAGUCUUCCUGGACACCUUAAUUAUCUUGCCACCUGUAAUCACCCUUGAAUUCAACUAUGGACAACAUUAUUCAUCCAUUCGUUCAACAGAUACUCAAGUAUUCGCUUAGUGUCUAGCUCUGUAAAACAUUUUAGCAGUUCGGCAGUAAACAAAAUAUUCUCUGUCCUUGUAAACUCAUAGCCUAGUCUGAGCAACAGACAGUAAAUAAAUUAGCAAUGAGACCCUACUGUAGAGCACAUGGAACUAUAGCCAGUGUCUUGUCAUAGAACAUGAGAGAAGAUAACAUGACAAAAAGAAUGUGUGUGUGUAUAUAUAUAUAUGUAUGUAUAUAUGCAUAUAUAUGUGUGUAUGUGAUAUAUAUACACACACAUAUAUGUAUACACACACAAAUAUGGUAGUUAUAUGUAUGGCAUACAUAUAUAUGGUCAUUAUAUGUAUAUAUAUGUACACCUGGGUCACCUUGCUGUAUGGCAGAAAUCGGCACAACAUUGCGCAUCAACUGUACUUUAAUACAAAAUAAUCAUAUGGGUAAUUUAUCACUUUUGAUACUGUCUGUGAAAGAAAAGUUGAGUGAGCAGAACAUCAUGAACAGAACGAUUUCAGCCUAUCCAGUAGGAAGAGGGAAAGUGUCCUCUGGGAAACCCUGCAGAAGGAGUGUAUAUGGGACUCUAGAGGAGGGUCAGAGGCUCCUCCUAGGUACCCUGAGCUUUAGGAACCAGCCCGGGGAGCUGUCCCUCAUCAGGUGGCUAACCUAAUCCGUAGCCAAGGAAACAAUGACUGAGAUGAAAGUAUAAAUUUGCAAUUUAUCAGCAAAUAGGUGGUGUUUAAUGACCUGUGAGUGAGGAGAUCCCCUAGGGAGAAUGAAAAUCAAGAUGAGGAGAGAUUGAAGGAGUGAGAUCUAGUUAUAACCAGAGUUAACUACUGUUAACUGUCACAGGGGAGAGCUUGGAUUUGAGUCCUCAAAGAAUAAUGGACAGAUUUUCCUUCCAUUAGAAUGAUGGGAUUAGGAUGUGGGGAAAAGUCAGAGGCCCAUGACUUUUCCAGGCCACAUCAGCACUUGCCAUCCCCUCCUCACUCCAGAAUCCACAAUUCAUCUGCAGGAGUUCCCUGGUGGCCUAGUGGGUUAAGGACCCAGCAUUGUCACUGCUAUGUCGCAGGUUCAAUCCCUGGCCUAGGAACUUCUGCAUGCUGGGGGCAUGG